rnacentral:tRNA from 1 species
GUAAUGUUAGUUUAAUAAGAACCCUUGUAUUGCAAAUAAGUAGAGGAGAAGCCUUCACAUUUCA